AAGAGUUUUGUAUUCAAAUUUAAACAUCUUAUUUACCAAGUCACCUGAUAAGGCUUAUAAAUACUACUGUUGGUGGAGGAAUGAAAAGUCACCUACCCAAUCUCUCAACCUUGAAUGUAUAAUUGACUAGCUAGUAUUUGCUAUCCUUUUCGCCAUUCUCCGUCUGGUUAUUGCUGACAUGACUGAACAGGAACAUGCUUAUAUUGCUCAAAGCAGGAGUGGUACUAAUAGAGGAGAAAAAGGAAAUCGUAGGAGAUCACGACACAAAAGAAUUAAAAUAAAAAAUGAUUCAGAUUCGGAGCCUGAAGUCAUAAGAAAUGAAUCAAGGAUGGUGCAAAAUCUGAACAGAGAUAAAAGGGCAUGUAAAAGGGAAGGAAGAAGACUUCUCAAGGAUUUUGAGAAAAUCAAAAUGGACCCUUUUGACUCUCUACUAGAUUUUCUUAGAUUAUUUAGGAUAAAAUUAGAUGAGAUUCUUGAUAAUUACAUUUGUGUUGAGGAUUGUGAUGCAUUCGUCAUACUGUAUCGGUCCUUAUCAGAUUACUGGAAAAAUGAAUUGAUUGGUAUCUAUAGCGAUAUUGGGUCUAAUGAACCAUUAUGGAGGUUCAUGGCGGCUCUAGGAGUUAAAUGGGCAAAAUUUUCCAACACUAAUAUUUUAGCAUUGUGAAUAUUUUUUGAAAAAUAUUACAU